rnacentral:lncRNA from 1 species
AGAAAGGGAGGUUGCGGCUCGAGCUAUUUUAACCUCUGAGCCACAACCUUCCUCAGGGUGCGAGCUGAGAUUUUCAAGUAUCUCUGGAAAGGGUGUGCAACAGGGCGUAAAAAGCGGAAGCUGCGUGGGGAAGAUUCGAACCCAAAAGGCGCAGAGACUGUGGUGCUAAGGGCCACAUCUUAUCCCCAGCACCAGAGCCUCCCGCUAGCACAGCUGCAAGAAAUCGCCCCCGUCAGCGUUAGUUCUUUCCACUAGACCAACGCUGGCAGGGGGAUGGUGAAGCAGAAGUGAGAGAGGUCUUAUCUGUGUCACAGGCAACGGAAGGGCGCGAACCCCAAUCGGCUAUAAAAAAUGACUGAGCGACACGCAGAAGCGACAAUCUCUCUGCGCUACACUCAGUCAUGCACUCAGAGAGGCUCAGGGUAGAGCUGUGUUCGAACUCGGUGCUGGCAGCAAGAAGAGGCUUGUGAUGGUACACUGACUAUUCCACUAAGCCAGUGCCCCACCACAGCCUG